rnacentral:rRNA from 1 species
UGGCGGCGGCUUACACAUGCAGUCGAGCGGUAACAGGGGGUGCUUGCACCCCGCUGACGAGCGGCGGACGGGUGAGUAAUGCAUAGGAAUCUGCCCAGUAGUGGGGGAUAGCCCGGGGAAACCCGGAUUAAUACCGCAUACGUCCUUCGGGGGAAAGCAGGGGAUCUUCGGACCUUGCGCUAUUGGAUGAGCCUAUGUCGGAUUAGCUAGUUGGUGGGGUAAAGGCCUACCAAGGCGACGAUCCGUAGCUGGUCUGAGAGGAUGAUCAGCCACAUCGGGACUGAGACACGGCCCGAACUCCUACGGGAGGCAGCAGUGGGGAAUAUUGGACAAUGGGGGCAACCCUGAUCCAGCCAUGCCGCGUGUGUGAAGAAGGCUUUCGGGUUGUAAAGCACUUUCAGUGAGGAGGAAAACCUUCUGGUUAAUACCCAUGAGGCUUGACGUUACUCACAGAAGAAGCACCGGCUAACUCCGUGCCAGCAGCCGCGGUAAUACGGAGGGUGCAAGCGUUAAUCGGAAUUACUGGGCGUAAAGCGCGCGUAGGUGGUUUGAUAAGCGAGAUGUGAAAGCCCCGGGCUUAACCUGGGAACGGCAUU